GACGAACGCUGGCGGCGUGCUUAACACAUGCAAGUCGAACGGUGAAGCGGGGCUUGUUCUGUGGUUACGUGGCGAACGGGUGGGUGACACGUGAGUAACCUGCCCUUGUCUCUGGGUUGAGCGUUGGCAACGACGUCUAAUUCCGGAUACGUGCUGAGACGGCAUGGUCCUUUGUUGGAAAGAUUUUUGGGUUGCGGAUAGACUCGGGGCCUAUCGGGUUGUUUGGGAGGUAAUGGCACACCAAGGCGUCGCCAGGUAGCCGGCCUGAGAGGGUGACCGGCCACACUGGUACUGAGACACGGACCAGACUCCUACGGGACGCAGCGGUGGGGAAUAUUGCACAAUGGGCGCAAGCCAGAUGCAGCAACGCCGCGUGAGGGAUGACGGCCUUCGGGUUGUAAACCUCUUUGAGAAGGGAAGAAGCGAAAGUGACGGUACCUGCAGAAAAAGCACCGGCUAACUACGUG
rnacentral:rRNA from 1 species